UACGUAGGGUGCAAGCGUUGUCCGGAAUUAUUGGGCGUAAAGAGCUCGUAGGCGGUUUGUCGCGUCUGCUGUGAAAACUCGGGGCUUAACCCCGGGCCUGCAGUGGGUACGGGCAGACUAGAGGUAUGCAGGGGAGAACGGAAUUCCUGGUGUAGCGGUGAAAUGCGCAGAUAUCAGGAGGAACACCGGUGGCGAAGGCGGUUCUCUGGGCAUUACCUGACGCUGAGGAGCGAAAGUGUGGGGAGCGAACAGG
rnacentral:rRNA from 1 species